rnacentral:rRNA from 1 species
CCUACGGGCUGCAGCAGUGAGGAAUAUUGGUCAAUGGACGGAAGUCUGAACCAGCCAUGCCGCGUGCAGGAAGACGGCUCUAUGAGUUGUAAACUGCUUUUGUACAAGGGUAAACCUGAAUACGUGUAUUCAGCUGAAAGUACUGUACGAAUAAGGCUCGGCUAACUCCGUGCCAGCAGCCGCGGUAAUACGGAGGAUCCAAGCGUUAGCCGGAUGUAUUGGGUUUAAAGGGUGCGUAGGCGGAGUGAUAAGUUAGAGGUGAAAUGUCCGAGCUUAACUCGGGAACUGCCUCUAAUACUGUUGAUCGAGAGUGUAGAUGCGGUAGGCGGAAUGUAUGGUGUAGCGGUGAAAUGCUUAGAGAUCAUACAGAACACCGAUUGCGAAGGCAGCUUACCAAUCUAUAUCUGACGUUGAGGCACGAAAGCGUGGGGAGCAAACAGGAUUAGAUACCCCAGUAGUC